rnacentral:rRNA from 1 species
CGGGUGAGUAACACGUGGGUGACCUGCCCUUAGCUCUGGGAUAAGCCUAGGAAACUGGGUCUAAUACCGGAUAUGACUCCAUGACGCAUGUUGUGGGGUGGAAAGCCUUGUGCGGCUAGGGAUGGGCCCGCGGCCUAUCAGCUUGUUGGUGGGGUGAUGGCCUACCAAGGCGACGACGGGUAGCCGGCCUGAGAGGGCGACCGGCCACACUGGGACUGAGAAACGGCCCAG